UGCCAGAGUUUGUAGUAUUUUUCGUUCUAAACAUUUAACGUUUUUGCAUAAUUAGUACAUUUGUGGUAUAAGAUUACGCAUUUUCGCAUUC